UCCUAGUCCCUGAGACCCUAACUUGUGAGGUUUUGUAGCAACAAUCACAAGUCAGGCUCUUGGGACCUAGG
rnacentral:pre_miRNA from 4 species